AGACAAGAGAAUGUUCACAUUAAUGUGAACAAUUUCCAAAGUACUUUUCUUUGUGUGAGAUAUGUGGGGGUUAAUAUCUCCACUUUCCAGGCAGGGAAUGGAGGCUCAGGGAGGUGGUGCCUUCAUCGCAGGUCAUACAGCUGGCGAGGAGCCCCUCUGCCACUGUGCAGUUGGCUGUUGCCUGAGGACACUGCAGACCCAUGGCAGAGUCUCACUCUGAACACAGAAGCUCAAAUAGUUUCAUAGAAGCACCAUAAUGGCUGUUGUCCUUGCCCUGUUUGUGGCUCUCAACACUGCUGAAAAGCAGAUUCUGGAAAGCGGUGCUUGCAAAUGGAGUGUGUUUGGCUUGCUAGGCCACAUUUCACCUGCUGUCCUUCUCUUUCAGAGACUGUGGACUUACAGAAGCUGGACAAAAGAGCACUUGCUCUGGCAUCAGGGUAAUUGCAACCUGCUAAUAGCUUGCUCAGCACUCAGCACUUGUGGUCUAGAUGCUAUCUCGUUAACCUUCCUGGUGUGUGUGAGGCAAGUGCUCCUGAAGAUGCUGCGCCACAAGCAGAGGCCUGGAUGCAGUAGCCCACAACAGCUAACUUAGUGCUUUCCAGUGCUGAAAAAACUACAGAGAUCUUCUACAUUCCAGAGCGCAUAUGGAAAAUUAUAGGCACUUAAAAAUGGUUCUUAAAAAUUGUCAAAACACCUCUCAGGCUCCCAAAUGAAUUUGCUUUUUGAAGUUUGUCAAAAUUAAUUCUAAUGUUUCUUUUUUAAGCAUACAAAAAUAGCCAUCAAAAAUACUGUAAAUGGGAUUUUUUUCUUUUUUCUUUUAAGACAGGAUCUCACUAUGUAGCUGGCCCCAAACUCAUGAUCCUCUGCUUCAGCCUCCCAAAUGCUAGGAUUAUAGAUCCAAACACCAUCAGCCCAGCUCUGCUAAUAAAUGCAGACUUGGAAAACCACUUGUGAUAGUGUAUAUAUAGCAAGCACAAUGUUAUUAUAUGCUAUAAAAGUGAACAAAGAAAGUAACCUGGAAAGUUACAAAAGAAGGAAUGGUUAACAUACAAAGGCAUUUUCCCUUACAAAAAUACAAAUGGCAGCCAAGCAUCUCUUUUCAUCUGUUAGACAAGAAAAGCAGAGUGGCCUGAGUAGUUAUUUGACAGUUUUAUACAUUGUCCAGGGAAAUGCAAAAGGAUCUCACCUUUCUUAAGGGCAAAUUUUGUAUGCGUGUGUUUAAGACUUAGGCAUAAGACUUGCAGAACCUCAGCCCAGCUGUACGAUCCGAAAAUGUAUGUAUAAGAAAACUGAAUAGAGCCUAAAUCUUGAAGAACAGAAGCUUAAUCAAAUGAAGUGAGCCAUAUCCACAUUGUUAUGCAGCCAUUAAGUUAAUGUAUGAUCAUUUGGGGGGAAAUGGUGUGUAUUGUGUAUAUGUGUAGAUUGUAUAGAUACAUGUUAACAUAUCUCCAUACACAUACAUAUAUGUGUUUACAUUUGAUUUUUGUGUUUCUGUUGUUGUUUUACUCUCUCCCUUUUUUUUUUUUUUUUUUUUUUUNNNNNNNNNNNNNNNNNNNNNNNNNNNNNNNNNNNNNNNNNNNNNNNNNNNNNNNNNNNNNNNNNNNNNNNNNNNNNNNNNNNNNNNNNNNNNNNNNNNNNNNNNNNNNNNNNNNNUUUUUUUUUUUUUUUUUUGGUACCCAGAAUUGAGCUCAGGACUUUGUGCUUGCCAGGCAGGCAAGGCACCACUGAGCUAAAUCCCUGGCCCUUUGCAGUUGUUAUCAUGUGAAAGUACUGAUUGAACUUAGCUUUCUUUUAAUAAAAAUGAAAGUUUUGUUCAAACCAUACUUACAAAACUUUAAAAAGCAACAACUUAAUGGAGCUGACAAAAAUUUGGACAUGAAAGAGAACUUUUACUGGCGAUUGCAUGAAUAAUAAUGAAUGCAUUAAUUGCUUUUUUCUUGCCAGAAAUUAGCCUGGGUUAAGCCUUUAAAUGUAAAUACUAGUAUAUUUCAAAUGCAGCUGUGCACAUACUCACACACUGUGCACAUACUCACACACUAAUGAGGAGGUUGGAUAGGCGAAAUCUAACAAGUCUAUGCUUCAGACUGACUGCAUUACAACAGUGCACACUCCUGUACAGGACACACUUGAUGUGCGCACUGGGGACUGGGGGAUCGUUCCAAGCCUAGAGUUGACUGCACAACAUGAAGUAUGUGGAGGAGGAGAAACUUAUGGAGAAGUCAGAGUCAAUGAGAUACUCGGUGAAAUGAAACUAUAAAGAAGUAAAAAGAGUUUUUUUAAAUGCUAAAGAAAAUUGGCGAAUAGUUUAAAAUUACUGAAGUCAAAUGUAGUAAAUCAAAUUAGCAUUAAUAUUUUGUGAUUACGUGAUUGUGAAAAGAUGGG
rnacentral:lncRNA from 1 species